UACGUAGGCAGCGAGCGUUGUUCGGAGUUACGUGGCGUAAAGAGUGCGUAGGCGGUUGGCUAAGUUUGGUGAUGAAACUCGUCCCGGCUCCAACGUGGGAGGGUGCGGCCGAAAACUGGCCUGGCUGGAGUGUGGAGGAGGCUAGCGGAAUUCCUGGUGUAGCGGUAGAAAUGCGUAGAUAUCAGGAGGAACACCUGCGGUGUGAGACGGCUGGCUGGACCACUACUGACGCUGAGACACGAAAGCGUGGGGUAGCAAACAGG
rnacentral:rRNA from 1 species